CCCGGGUACUUCUUGUACAGAAUGCCGCGAAAGUGGCGCAUGUAAUUGCCCACCUCGGAACCCACGUAGUAGUACUCGCCGCCCUCCUCCAGCUGAAAGGCCACCGGCUUGUCCCCGAUUUCUUCUUAAUAUUUUGCAACUAAAAUUUUCCUGCCGCAUACACAAACACAGACAUGGACAUGGCGUCUAUCGCGGAAGUGUUGGAAAACGCGCGAGAUCCACCAACGCAAUUCAGAGAUGCUGCCAAUUGGUUACAAAAAAAGCUAAAUAAAUCAUUAAGAAAGA